CUAUCUGCAGUCGAGCGACAGAAAGGACUUGCUCCUUUGACGUUAGCGGCGGACGGGUGAGUAACACGUGGGCAACCUACCUUAUAGUUUGGGAUAACUCCGGGAAACCGGGGCUAAUACCGAAUAAUCUGUUUCACCUCAUGGUGAAACACUGAAAGACGGUUUCGGCUGUCGCUAUAGGAUGGGCCCGCGGCGCAUUAGCUAGUUGGUGAGGUAACGGCUCACCAAGGCGACGAUGCGUAGCCGACCUGAGAGGGUGAUCGGCCACACUGGGACUGAGACACGGCCCAGACUCCUACGGGAGGCAGCAGUAGGGAAUCUUCCACAAUGGGCGAAAGCCUGAUGGAGCAACGCCGCGUGAGUGAAGAAGGAUUUCGGUUCGUAAAACUCUGUUGUAAGGGAAGAACAAGUACAGUAGUAACUGGCUGUACCUUGACGGUACCUUAUUAGAAAGCCACGGCUAACUACGUGCCAGCAGCCGCGGUAAUACGUAGGUGGCAAGCGUUGUCCGGAAUUAUUGGGCGUAAAGCGCGCGCAGGUGGUUUCUUAAGUCUGAUGUGAAAGCCCACGGCUCAACCGUGGAGGGUCAUUGGAAACUGGGAGACUUGAGUGCAGAAGAGGAUAGUGGAAUUCCAAGUGUAGCGGUGAAAUGCGUAGAGAUUUGGGAGGAACACCAGUGGCGAAGGCGACUAUCUGGUCUGUAACUGACACUGAGGCGCGAAAGCGUGGGGAGCAAACAGGAUUAGAUACCCCUGGUUAGUCCACGCCGUAAACGAUGAAUGCUAAGUUGUUAGGGGGUUUCCGCCCCUUAAUUGCUGCAGCUAAACGCAUUAAAGCACUCCCCCCUGGGGGA
rnacentral:rRNA from 1 species